AGUCUACUGAAUCUCCGUUUAGAUUUCGUCAGACACCAGACCAUCAGGACUGAUGACACUCCAAAGGUCAGUGAAGCG
rnacentral:pre_miRNA from 1 species